AUUGAACGCUGGCGGCAUGCCUUACACAUGCAAGUCGAACGGUAACAGGUCUUCGGAUGCUGACGAGUGGCGAACGGGUGAGUAAUACAUCGGAACGUGCCCGAUCGUGGGGGAUAACGAGGCGAAAGCUUUGCUAAUACCGCAUACGAUCUACGGAUGAAAGCGGGGGAUCUUCGGACCUCGCGCGGACGGAGCGGCCGAUGGCAGAUUAGGUAGUUGGUGGGAUAAAAGCUUACCAAGCCGACGAUCUGUAGCUGGUCUGAGAGGAUGAUCAGCCACACUGGGACUGAGGCACGGCCCAGACUCCUACGGGAGGCAGCAGUGGGGAAUUUUGGACAAUGGGCGAAAGCCUGAUCCAGCCAUGCCGCGUGCAGGAUGAAGGCCUUCGGGUUGUAAACUGCUUUUGUACGGAACGAAAAGCCUCUUUCUAAUAAAGAGGGGUCAUGACGGUACCGUAAGAAUAAGCACCGGCUAACUACGUG
rnacentral:rRNA from 1 species